UGCAGUCGACGCGAAGCACCUUCGGGUGUGAGUAGAGUGGCGGACGGGUGAGUAAUACUUGGGAAUCUGCCUAGUAGUGGGGGAUAACUCGGGGAAACUCGAGCUAAUACCGCAUACGCCCUACGGGGGAAAGAUUUAUCGCUAUUAGAUGAGCCCAAGUCAGAUUAGCUAGUUGGUAGGGUAAUGGCCUACCAAGGCGACGAUCUGUAGCUGGUCUGAGAGGACGAACAGCCACACUGGGACUGAGACACGGCCCAGACUCCUACGGGAGGCAGCAGUGGGGAAUAUUGGACAAUGGGCGAAAGCCUGAUCCAGCAAUGCCGCGUGUGUGAAGAAGGCCUGCGGGUUGUAAAGCACUUUCAAUCGUGAAGAAAAGCUCAGGGUUAAUAACCCUGGGUCUUGACAUUAUCGAUACAAGAAGCACCGGCUAACUCCGUGCCAGCAGCCGCGGUAAUACG
rnacentral:rRNA from 1 species